GGUUGUCAAGCCAACACCAAUGAGCUAUCAACAUCGCGCCAUGCUGUUCUUGGGCCGUCGCUGCCGGAGGGUUACAAACCCUCUGAGGGGCCAUCGGCAACAACAACUGGCGGUCAAGGGAUGAUCAAGAUUGGUCCAUGCUUCCCCAACAAUGGCAAUAAUGGCAAUGCCCUCUCCUGCCUCAAGCUGUGCACGAGCAAAGGCUAUGCUGGCGGGCACUGUGACCCUCUGCCUGGUGGCCUCCGCGGCGACUGUUACUGCUUCACUUUUUGACAGCUGUGCAUAUAUAUGCCAUAGGCUACCCAAUGUAAUUCUAUAUCACCGUCUCGGUUCCACAAGCUUGGACGUAGCAAUCAUGGCAGAAAAAAUAAUUAGGGUUUAUUUUGAUAGUUUCAUUAGGGCAAACAGAUUCGUCCGCGUCGAAUGUUGAAGUCAUCGUGUUUGCCUGACUAGAGUGAAUCAAAUGCCAAUGUUCGUUACUCUCCCUAA